GAUAGAGAGGAAGAUGAGCCUGGUUUUUCUUUCUCUUGUUAAUGUCUCCGUUGUUUCUUUUAUUAUGGUAUUUUGAGUCUUGAAGCUAUUGUUUUUGGGCAAAAUCAGGAAGAGGAUAUGGCAGCAACCAGGAAUGCAGUGCUCCAAACCAGAGACAAGAGGACAACAUUGAGUCCCUAAAAGGUUCGCUUGUGACCCGGGUACAAAAGCCACCGAGAGCCCUUCACCAAGAGAUAGAGUGAUGAUUGCCUCUGGUGUGACUAUUUUGGUAUAAAUCUUUUUCUUUUGUAAUUCUUUAGCCUUCACAUUUUUUCGAAAUCACUUCAGUGACUAUUAUUGUUUAAUGAUGGGAUUUUUUACACUAAUGUUUCUUCUCUAUAGCUGAAUCUAUUGUGCUUCAAUAUGAUCAUGUUCCUUGGAAACAGAAAUGAGAUUUUCAGCCUUUUCAGUGCUUUUCUCAAAUUGUUCUAUGUUAAUGGAUAUUAAUUUUUUAUGCUUGAGUAGAGUGGCACGACGUCAUAGUGUUUUAAUUUUUUGUAGCUCUUUGGUAGACCACAUCGGCUUAACUAUGUCACAUACUUGCAUUAAAGAAAUAAAGAACCUAGCUAAGGUAGAACAUAAACUGCAAACUCCUUUUUAUCUUCAAACAGAAUAUAAAAAAUUGCAUUGUAGCUAAUUGGUUCUGAUCUUCACAAAAACUCCUUUUUAAAGAAAUAAAGAAGCUAGCUACAAUGCUCUUGUGGGAAGAAUAAAUUGUCAACAACAGGUCAAAGAAGAGCUUGAGAGACAUGUGAGAUAAGAACUAAUUAUGCUGUACAGUCUGUAUCACUGAGUCAGGUAACUAGUUUUCUCUUUGGUGUUGUUAGUGAUUUUUUGAUACAUUGAAAAAUUUGUCUUUAUCUUGGACUAGUGAUGGAGAAGUUUGAACAAAAGAAAACUUAUCCAAUUAGUGGACAGUUAGUAUCUAAUAUUAUUCUUUAUUGUUUUCAACGCUUCCUUGGGCAUGCAUUUCUCUACUUUAAGCUUUCAAAAGUUCAAGUAAUAAGCACAAGAAGGUCAAAAAGUUGUAAAUCCUUCAAUAAGUGUAGCUAGUUUAUUUAAUUUUUGACAGCAAACUAUUGGUGCAUUCAAAUAUAUUUGCAUUCAAUAUAUUUACAGUAUAUAUAAAAAAAAAAAUAUCAUUUAUGCUCCUUAUAUCAGCUGGUUACAACAUCAAAGGUAAUGACUGAACACCUUUUUGAUAUCUGACUUUGUGAGUACCAUGCGUUCUGCUUCAACCCAGUGCUUAAGUAUGGAUCAUGCUGUGUUGUUCUGUUUUGUUGCAUGAAAUUUCCCGUGAUAUACUGUAGAUUCAUGAACUGCUGUAAUCUAAUCACAGAGUUCAUUACAAGUUGGUAACAUGUACAAAGGUCAUCAUGCUGCCUCUCGAUAUAUGUAUGUGAUAUAUAUUCUACUGUUUCAUUGAGUACUAUCAUGUAUACCUAUCUUGUAUUCUCCUUUUGCAUGUCCCUUAGGAAGGGCUUUAGUGGUAGACAUAUUAUUCUGGGUGAGGGAGUUCAAGGAUUCAAUUCCUUGAUGCUUGUCCCAGAGAUCCAAACCCUUUAAUGCUUUUAUUUUCUGUUUUGUUUAAAUAACCAACACGGUAUACCUAUAAAAAACACUUAGCCAAAGCUAUGAUAUACUUCUUUAUAUUCAUGAUAAUACUUUUGUCGGUAGCUAUGUCCUAGCUAUUGUUGACUUUUUAAUAACCUUAGUUAUAAUUGACUUUUUCAGAUGCCAUCCUUUUCUGGAUUUAUUUGUUAUUCUUUCUCUUAUUUUGCUGUUUGUUGACAUGCUCUUUGUGUUUUUUAGGUUUUUUUGUUACUGCAGGUGCUUAUUUUAUGAGACGUUGGUCAUACUUCUCUAUUAAUUAAUCCAUUAGACUCUACUGGAAGGUUAGGUUUUUCCUGGGAAUGAGCAUUUGUUGCUUUCUUGACUCCUACCAGGCAAAUGAAACACUUUUGUUUAAGAAGUUUCUCCUAAUCUCGAUGGCCUUUAAGACUGUGUAUCCAAAAAAUUAUUAUAAUUUACUUGCUUAAAAAGAUCAUUUCUUAGGUUUCAUGUGUAGAAAGAACAAAUUACUAUGGGACUGCUAUAUGUUUUUCAUUGGCUUUUAUGCAUCAGAGAAAAAUUAUUGCCUUUUAUCGUGACCAAAGUUCUAUUUUAUUAUGGUAAUAUUUGGAAUUUCAGUGCAUCAAACAUGUAAAGAGCAUUUGUGAACUGAAUUUCAUAAUUACAUGUGCCAUGUAAAAUAUACAGUUGAUGCCUGUGCUCAUAAUGCUUUAUGAUAUGCUUCUUAUACUAAGUUAGGAUUCAUCUUUCAAUGGUAGCAUUCAUGAGCUGGUAAGAUUAUUUUGCCGGGAACUCCUUGGAGACUGUAGAUGAAAUACUUAUUGUAUUUUAUAUCACUUUGCAGAUAGUAACUAGUGUUCCAUUGUACAAGAAUGUCUUCUACGUCACACAUCCCCUGGUUCUCUGAUGGUCAUAAUACAUAUGAGGAAUGUAUUAAAUCAGUACUAGAUCUCUUUUACAGUAGCAUGGAUGCAUAAAAUAUGGACGGUGAGUGGUCAAUGGAGAAAGUCCUUUAAAUCAUUAUUAUUAUGGACGGUGAGUGGUCAAUGGAGAAAGUCCUUUAAGUCAUUAUUAUUAAUUGCCGAUUGUGGCGUGGUGAUGGAAUGAAGGUAGAGUUCUACAGUAAUCUAAAAAGAGUUAGAUUAUGUUGGGUUCCUUUUUUUUUCUCUUUUUGAAGAAAUCCUCCAGUAUAUAUAGUUCUAAGAUGAUCCCCCAAUUGAUUGAUCUUUUAAUUGUUAUGGGCUUUUUGUCCUUUUCGUUUCUGCUUUUCUCUAUUCGGGAAUAUUUCAAGUUGGCCCAUCGUCUGUUUGGGUAGCUCUAUUAUUUUUUAUUGCUUUCUCUCUUUGCAGCAUACAGUUGCGGCCUUCUCUUAAAGAUCAGAUUAAGCUUAAGACUACACAAAAGGAUUAUGAAGUAGAGGCUUAGUGUUACUAUUUUCUCAGCUCCAAGCCCUUUUUGAAGGCUUGGUAGGGGCACACCAAGAUCUUCAGGUGGUUCUGUAUAAACAGCACCCUUCUGCCUUAACAGUUGCAAAUACUUUGGGUUAUAGUUGAAACAACCAUUGAUUUUACAUAAGCGUAUGAUGCAGAACU